rnacentral:rRNA from 1 species
UACUCCUACGGGAGGCAGCAGUGGGGAAUUUUGCGCAAUGGGGGAAACCCUGACGCAGCGACGCCGCGUGGAGGAUGACGGCCUUCGGGUUGUAAACUCCUGUCAGAAGGGACGAAAUCCCGCAAGGGACUGACGGUACCUUCAGAGGAAGCCCUGGCUAACUACGUGCCAGCAGCCGCGGUAAUA